GCCUGAGCGGGGCGAAGCCAGAGGAAACUCUGGUGGAGGCUCGAAGCGAUACUGACGUGCAAAUCGUUCGUCUGACUUGGGUAUAGGGGCGAAAGACUAAUCGAACCAUCUAGUAGCUGUUUCCCUCCGAAGUUUCCCUCAGGAUAGCUGGAGCCCAUUACGAGUUCUAUCAGGUAAAGCCAAUGAUUAGAGGCAUUGGGGACGCAACGUCCUCGACCUAUUCUCAAACUUUAAAUAGGUAGGAUGGCUCGGCUG
rnacentral:ncRNA from 1 species